rnacentral:rRNA from 1 species
CCUACGGGUGGCAGCAGUGAGGAAUAUUGGUCAAUGGACGAGAGUCUGAACCAGCCAAGUAGCGUGAAGGAUGACUGCCCUAUGGGUUGUAAACUUCUUUUAUAUGGGAAUAAAACAGGGUAUGCAUACCCUCUUGUAUGUAACAUAUGAAAAAGGCUCGGCUAACUCCGUGCCAGCAGCCGCGGUAAUACGGAGGAUCCGAGGGUUAUCCGGGUUUAUUGGGUUUAAAGGGUGCGUAGGCGGGAUGCCAAGUCAGCGGUAAAAAUGCGGUGCUCAACGCCGUCGAGCCGUUGAAACUGGCGUUCUUGAGUGGGCGAGAAGUAUGCGGAAUGCGUGGUGUAGCGGUGAAAUGCAUAGAUAUCACGCAGAACUCCGAUUGCGAAGGCAGCAUACCGGCGCCCCUACUGACGCUGAGGCACGAAAGCGUGGGUAUCGAACAGGAUUAGAUACCCUUGUAGUC